rnacentral:rRNA from 1 species
AGAGGUUUGGGGAUCCUGGGGCUCAGGACGAACGCUGGCGGCGUGCUUAACACAUGCAAGUCGAACGAUCCCGGGCUUCGGCUCAAUGGGAGAGUGGCGAACGGGUGAGUAUCACGUGAGAAACCUGCCCCGGAGAUGGGAAUAGCCCAAGGAAACUUGGAUUAAUGCCCAAUACCCUGGCUGCACCGCAUGGUGCUACCAGGAAAUGUUCCGACGCUCCGGGAGGGUCUCGCGGCCUAUCAGCUAGUUGGUGAGGUAAUGGCUCACCAAGGCAUCGACGGGUAGCUGGUCUGAGAGGACGAUCAGCCACACUGGGACUGAGACACGGCCCAGACUCCUACGGGAGGCAGCAGUGGGGAAUCUUGCGCAAUGGGCGAAAGCCUGACGCAGCAACGCCGCGUGGGGGAAGAAGGCCUUCGGGUCGUAAACCCCUUUCAGCAGGGACGAAAAUGACGGUACCUGCAGAAGAAGGACCGGCCAACUACGUGCCAGCAGCCGCGGUAAUACGUAGGGUCCAAGCGUUGUCCGGAUUUAUUGGGCGUAAAGAGCUCGUAGGCGGUUUGGUAAGUCGGGUGUGAAAACUCAGGGCUCAACCCUGAGACGCCACUCGAUACUGCCAUGACUAGAGUCCGGNUAGAGGAGUGUGGAAUUCCUGGUGUAGCGGUGAAAUUGCGCAGAUUAUCAGGAGGAACACC